UACGGAGGAUCCAAGCGUUAUCCGGAUUUAUUGGGUUUAAAGGGUGCGUAGGCGGCCUAUUAAGUCAGGGGUGAAAGACGGUAGCUUAACUAUCGCAGUGCCUUUGAUACUGAUGGGCUUGAAUACACUAGAGGUAGGCGGAAUGUGACAAGUAGCGGUGAAAUGCAUAGAUAUGUCACAGAACACCAAUUGCGAAGGCAGCUUACUAAGCUAUGAUUGACGCUGAGGCCCGAAAGCGUGGGGAUCAAACAGG
rnacentral:rRNA from 1 species